UAAGGAAUAUUGCUUAAUGGGAGAAAUCCUGAAGCAGCAACGCCGCGUGGAGGAUGAAGGGUCUAUGACUUGUAAACUCCUGUAAAGAAGGAAAAAAUUCCCAUUUGAUGGGAGAUGAUGGUACUUCUGGAGUAAGCCCCGGCUAACUACGUGCCAGCAGCCGCGGUAAUACGUAGGGGGCAAGCGUUGUCCGGAUUUACUGGGUGUAAAGGGUGCUCAGGCGGAUUUGUAAGUCAGAGGUGAAAUCUUACAGCUUAACUGUGAAACUGCCUUUGAUACUGCAAGCCUAGAGUAUGGAAGAGAGUGAUGGAAUAUCUGGUGUAGCAGUGAAAUGCGUAGAUAUCAGAUAGAACACCAAUGGCGAAGGCAGUCACUUGGUCCAUUACUGACGCUAAAGCACGAAAGCGUGGGUAGCAAACA
rnacentral:rRNA from 1 species